AUGGGUGUCAGACUCCUCUGCUGGGUGGUGGCCAUCUGGCUCUUGGGAGCAGGAUUCACAAAUGCCAAUGUCACUCAGAACCCAAGACACUCAGUCAGAAGGAGAGGACAGGAGGCAGUGCUGAGAUGCAGCCCAAUGAAAGAAUACAAUCAUGUUUCCUGGUAUCGGCAGCUCUUGGAGGAAGAUUUGAAAUUUAUGAUCUACCUCCAGAAAAAAAGAAUCAUAGAUAAGUCAGGAAUGCCAAGGAGGUGGUUUUCUAAUGAAUUUCUCAAAGAGGGACCCAGCAUCCUAAAUAUCCAGCAGGCAGAACCAGGAGGCUCGGCAGCAUAUUUCUGUGCCAGCUAA